UUUUCUUCAGGAGCGACUGAGGAGCAAAGACUGGGGACAUUGUCCAUAGCGGAGUUAGCAAAAUGCUAACUUAUGGAAGUACUCAAACACAGCGCCGACCAGUGACUCCUGACACAGAAAUACACCAACUAGACCGGCUGAGAACCAGGGUCAGCAGGCCUGGGAUCACUGCUGAGCUCCAGAUGGGACCUUUGGAUUCAAGCCUGGAAGCAACAGUAUAAUGUGACAGGGAUACUGCAUGGGAACUGAAAGACUGGAGGAUCUGGGGAGGGUUUAGUCAACAGGCUGUAUCUGGGCACAUGUUGUCCUCAUGUGCAAACCAAUCUGACAUAACUUCUGUAAAUCAUAAGUUGCCCAGUGGACAUGACAGACUCUGGCUAAUAAACAUGCACUGUUUCCUUGGUGGAGCAUGCCACUGACUGUUGCUUAAAAUAGAUAACUGUAAACAGUAAACAACAUAAUCAAAUCUAUAAUGUAAUAAUUUAACUAUUUCUACUUUACAGUUUAGUCAGAUCCAGUGGUUGAAUGUAACUAAGUAUAUUUACUCAAGUACUGUAAUUACAUUUACAAGGAAGAUAGAUACUAUAAUGAUAAUGAUAAGAUGUAAACAUAGGCAUUAUACAUGUUUGGAGAAUUUCUCAUUCCACUGUGAAUAGAAUACACAUAUUAUUCAAUACAUUAUUGAGAUGUUUACUUUAUUUUGCUUCUAUUUGAUCCAUGCAUGUAAAUAAGCCAUAUCAGUAACUGUCCAGAAGAUGGCAAUCAUCAGUUGCACAGAAUCUGUAGUUUUACAUCUGUAUUCAUUAUGUACCUGUUAAAAUGAAUAGUAAUGAGAUAUAAUACCCUACACUAUAAACAGGAGCUCUCUUCCAGAUAAGAUUCUACAUUUGGUGUAGUCAAGGCUGGACUGCCAACUGGGCAGGGGCCUCAAAAACCCAAAGUUUAUUCCAGUUUGAGUUUAAAUAAUUUAAUAAAUUGCAAGAUUUUUUCGAAAUUUGAUACAGUUGAAGUACAAUAUCUAUGACUAUGACUAUAGCAGGUCCUCCAUCCUUCAUUUUGUGGUUCUGGUCAUGUAGAGGGACUCUAUGUGAAAGUCUGGUCUUAAGACCUUCAUUGUUUUUGUUUACAUUGUGCUUGUUUGUUGUAAUGUUGUAUUAUAUUGUAUUGCCACCAUUCUUUCUGUGUGUCAUGUAAUUAAAAUACAGAAAACCCUGGGAUGAAUGUUGUAGUAAUCCAUCACAUGAGUAUUGUAAGGCCGCAACCAACAAUUAUCUUCAUUAUCAAUACAUCUGACAAUGAUUUUCUGUCUCAAUCAAUUGAUUGUUAAGUGGAUAAAAUGUUGAAAAAAAUUGUGUCUACAGGUGAGAAAGAGGA